rnacentral:rRNA from 1 species
GACGAACCGUGCGAACGUUGUUCGGAAUCACUGGGCUUAAAGGGCGCGUAGGCGGGCUCGCGAGUCCGGGGUGAAAGCCCCCAGCUCAACUGGGGAAGCGCCUUGGAUACUGCGGGCCUCGAGGGGGGUAGGGGCGCGCGGAACUUCCGGUGGAGCGGUGAAAUGCGUAGAUAUCGGAAGGAACACCGGUGGCGAAAGCGGCGCGCUGGGCCCCUUCUGACGCUGAGGCGCGAAAGCUAGGGGAGCAAACGGG